rnacentral:tRNA from 1 species
GCCCGGAUGGUGGAAUCGGUAGACACAAGGGAUUUAAAAUCCCUCUGCGUUCGCGCUGUGCGGGUUCAAGUCCCGCUCCGGGUACCA